AUUGAACGCUGGCGGCAGGCCUAACACAUGCAAGUCGAGCGGAUGAAGGGAGCUUGCUCCUGGACUCAGCGGCGGACGGGUGAGUAAUGCCUAGGAAUCUGCCUGGUAGUGGGGGAUAACGUCCGGAAACGGGCGCUAAUACCGCAUACGUCCUGAGGGAGAAAGUGGGGGAUCUUCGGACCUCACGCUAUCAGAUGAGCCUAGGUCGGAUUAGCUAGUUGGUGGGGUAAAGGCCUACCAAGGCGACGAUCCGUAACUGGUCUGAGAGGAUGAUCAGUCACACUGGAACUGAGACACGGUCCAGACUCCUACGGGAGGCAGCAGUGGGGAAUAUUGGACAAUGGGCGAAAGCCUGAUUCAGCCAUGCCGCGUGUGUGAAGAAGGUCUUCGGAUUGUAAAGCACUUUAAGUUGGGAGGAAGGGCAGUAAGUUAAUACCUUGCUGUUUUGACGUUACCAACAGAAUAAGCACCGGCUAACUUCGUG
rnacentral:rRNA from 1 species